rnacentral:tRNA from 1 species
UUCGGGUUAGCUCAGUUGGUAGAGCGAUGCACUGUUAAUGCAUUGGUCGGAGGUUCGAGUCCUUCACCCGGAGCCA